CUUGUCCAGCUGCCCUGAGAUUCUUAGAUCCUUGAGCUGCCUUGGUAUACAGAAGGAAGAAGGGCUCAGGAGUCUGAGAGCUUUGUGUGAUGAUACACCUAGUCCUGGGAAUAGUCAAGAUCUUCAUGGACUCCAUUUUCCUGUCAAGGUCUGAAGACCACUGUGCUGAGACUCUCUGGUAGCAGCACCAUAUUUGUGUCAUAAAAAGAAUUUGGUUGCUAACCAUAAAGAAUCAUUCUAUAAGUCAUAAAGAAAUGCAUGAUCAAGACAAAAAGGAGGGACCUGUUAAAAGCAAAAGAUAACUAACUGUUAGGCAGCCAGUCAGCUAAGAAUGGACACAGUCAAUGCAAGAAAGACCAGAACGCAGCAGGUUGUAUGUGGCCCCCUUGUGGCAAACUAGUGGGAGAGCAUGAAUAAGAGUCUCCAAGGAUGAAAGAGUAUGAUGGGAUCACUGAAGGAUGACAUCAUCAAAGGAUCCUAGAAAAAGACCUCUCAUCGCUAUUCUGCUGCCGCCAGACAGAAGCAGCCCAUUCACUUCUGGGGAAAUGGCUUGAAUGAUUUAAAAU